UACGUAGGGCGCAAGCGUUAUCCGGAAUUAUUGGGCGUAAAGAGCGCGUAGGCGGCCCUGUAAGUCCGCUGUGAAAGUCAAGGGCUCAACCCUUGGAUGCCGGUGGAUACUGCAGGGCUAGAGUUCGGGAGAGGCGAGUGGAAUUCCUGGUGUAGCGGUGAAAUGCGCAGAUAUCAGGAGGAACACCGAUGGCGAAGGCAGCUCGCUGGGACGAUACUGACGCUGAGGCGCGAAAGCGUGGGGAGCAAACAGG
rnacentral:rRNA from 1 species